GAGCAAAUCACAAAACUCGGUCUCAGUUCAGAUUGCAGGCUGCAACUCGCCUGCAUGAAGUUGGAAUUGCUAGUAAUCGCGAAUCAGAAUGUCGCGGUGAAUACGUUCCCGGGCCUUGUACACACCGCCCGUCACACCAUGAGAGUCGAUAACACCCGAAGCCUGUGAGCUAACCGUAAGGAGGCAGCAGUCGAAGGUAGAGCCAAUGAUUGGGGUGAAGUCGUAACAAGGUACC
rnacentral:rRNA from 1 species